UAGCGAAGGGGGCUAGCGUUGCUCGGAAUCACUGGGCGUAAAGCGCACGUAGGCGGAUUGCUAAGUCAGGGGUGAAAUCCUGGAGCUCAACUCCAGAACUGCCUUUGAUACUGGUGAUCUUGAAGUCCGGGAGAGGUGAGUGGAACUGCGAGUGUAGAGGUGAAAAUUCGUAGAUAUUCGCAAAGAACACCAGUGGCGAAGGCGGCUCACUGGCCCGAUACUGAACGCUGAGGUGCGAAAGCGUGGGGGAGCAAACAGG
rnacentral:rRNA from 1 species